rnacentral:rRNA from 1 species
GGUUAACGGGGAGGAAGGUGGGGACGGACGUCAAGUCAUCAUGGCCUUACGCCUAGGGCUACACACGUACUACAAUGGCGCAUACAAAGGGCAGCGAUACCGCGAGGUGGAGCCAAUCCCAAAAAGUGACGUCCCAGUCCGGAUUGCAGUCUGCAACUCGACUGCAUGAAGUUGGAAUCGCUAGUAAUUCGAGAUCAGCAUGCUCGGGUGAAUGCGUUCCCGGGCCUU